rnacentral:lncRNA from 1 species
CUUAUGUGUGUGCAUGCGUGUGUGUUUACAUGUAUAUUUGUGUGGACUCUCAUAGGAGCUUCUGAACAGGAGUUCUCUAGAGUCACAGAAGCUGGGAUUAAUGGAAGAAGUGUCCUGUCUAAAACUGAAGCUGGGGAGCAUGGAGGAGAAACACAUCAACAGUGCUGAGAGACAACAUAAAGCUGAGAGUGUAGUGAAUCUGAUUAGCGAGCUACAGGAGCAGAUGUGUAGGAUUCGGCAGGAGAUCUCUAGUAAGAUCCAAGAGAAGCCAGCGGAGAUGGCCCCAGAGGAAGGUUGUGGCAGUGAGCCAGCGCUUGCCUCUGUGACUGAGCCAAAGCCAGCGGUGGGUCUGAGAUCUGGACACACUUAAACACUGUGAAACUGUGGUCACUGUGGAAUAGAAAGUGUAGGCACCCCUUGGAUCUGACAGGUUUAAAGUAACAAUCUGUAAAUCUUCAAAAAUAUUCCCUGUGCUUAUGAAUUGAUGUCCAAAUUUGUAACACUUUUUUGACAG